UCUCCCUGGGAAACGGGUGGUAAUGCCGGAUGCUCCAGUUGAUCGCAUGGUCUUCUGGGAAAGCUUUCGCGGUAUGGGAUGGGGUCGCGUCCUAUCAGCUUGACGGCGGGGUAACGGCCCACCGUGGCUUCGACGGGUAGCCGGCCUGAGAGGGCGACCGGCCACAUUGGGACUGAGAUACGGCCCAGACUCCUACGGGAGGCAGCAGUGGGGAAUAUUGCACAAUGGGCGCAAGCCUGAUGCAGCGACGCCGCGUGAGGGAUGGAGGCCUUCGGGUUGUAAACCUCUUUUAUCGGGGAGCAAGCGAGAGUGAGUUUACCCGUUGAAUAAGCACCGGCUAACUACGUGCCAGCAGCCGCGGUAAUACGUAGGGUGCAAGCGUUAUCCGGAAUUAUUGGGCGUAAAGGGCUCGUAGGCGGUUCGUCGCGUCCGGUGUGAAAGUCCAUCGCUUAACGGUGGAUCCGCGCCGGGUACGGGCGGGCUUGAGUGCGGUAGGGGAGACUGGAAUUCCCGGUGUAACGGUGGAAUGUGUAGAUAUCGAAAAAGAACACCC
rnacentral:rRNA from 1 species